rnacentral:misc_RNA from 1 species
GAUGAAGAACGUAGCGAAAUGCGAAAAGUAGUGUGAAUUGCAGAAUUCAGUGAAUCAUCGAAUCUUUGAACGCACAUUGCGCCCCUUGGUAUUCCAUGGGGCAUGCCUGUUCGAGCGUCAUUUGUACCCUCAAGCUCUGCUUGGUGUUGGGUGUUUGUUCCGCCUCUGUGUGUGAACUCGCCUCAAAACAAUUGGCAGCCGGCGUACUUGUUUCGGAGCGCAGCACAUUUUGCGAUCCAGAUCAACGUACAGCGGCAUCCAAGAAGCCUUAUUUAACGCUCUUGACCUCGGAUCAGGUAGGGAUACCCGCUGAACUUAAGCAUAUCAAUAAGCGGAGGA